CCUACGGGUGGCAGCAGUGAGGAAUCUUGGUCAAUGGGCGCAAGCCUGAACCAGCCAAGUAGCGUGAAGGAUGACUGCCCUACGGGUUGUAAACUUCUUUUAUAAAGGAAUAAAGUGAGGCACGUGUGCCUUUUUGUAUGUACUUUAUGAAUAAGGAUCGGCUAACUACGUGCCAGCCGCCGCGGUAAUACGGAGGAUCCGAGCGUUAUCCGUAUUUAUUGGGUUUAAAGGGAGCGUAGGUGGGUUGGUAAGUCAGUUGUGAAAGGUUGCGGCUCAACCGUAAAAUUGCAAUUGAUACUGGCAGUCUUGAGUACAGGUGAGGUAGGCGGAAUUCGUGGUGUAGCGGUGAAAUGCGUAGAUAUUACGAAGAACUCCGAUUGCGAAGGCAGCUUACUAAACUGCCACUGACAUUGAGGCUCGAAAGUGUGGGUAUCAAACAGGAUUAGAUACCCCAGUAGUC
rnacentral:rRNA from 1 species